UCACUGGGCUGCUGCUUUCCUGG
rnacentral:misc_RNA from 1 species